AUAAUGGGUCAGCGACUUAUAUUCUGUAGCAAGGUUAACCGAAUAGGGGAGCCGAAGGGAAACCGAGUCUUAACUGGGCGUUAAGUUGCAGGGUAUAGACCCGAAACCCGGUGAUCUAGCCAUGGGCAGGUUGAAGGUUGGGUAACACUAACUGGAGGACCGAACCGACUAAUGUUGAAAAAUUAGCGGAUGACUUGUGGCUGGGGGUGAAAGGCCAAUCAAACCGGGAGAUAGCUGGUUCUCCCCGAAAGCUAUUUAGGUAGCGCCUCGUGAAUUCAUCUCCGGGGGUAGAGCACUGUUUCGGCAAGGGGGUCAUCCCGACUUACCAACCCGAUGCAAACUGCGAAUACCGGAGAAUGUUAUCACGGGAGACACACGGCGGGUGCUAACGUCCGUCGUGAAGAGGGAAACAACCCAGACCGCCAGCUAAGGUCCCAAAGUCAUGGUUAAGUGGGAAACGAUGUGGGAAGGCCCAGACAGCCAGGAUGUUGGCUUAGAAGCAGCCAUCAUUUAAAGAAAGCGUAAUAGCUCACUGGUCGAGUCGGCCUGCGCGGAAGAUGUAACGGGGCUAAACCAUGCACCGAAGCUGCGGCAGCGACGCUUAUGCGUUGUUGGGUAGGGGAGCGUUCUGUAAGCCUGCGAAGGUGUGCUGUGAGGCAUGCUGGAGGUAUCAGAAGUGCGAAUGCUGACAUAAGUAACGAUAAAGCGGGUGAAAAGCCCGCUCGCCGGAAGACCAAGGGUUCCUGUCCAACGUUAAUCGGGGCAGGGUGAGUCGACCCCUAAGGCGAGGCCGAAAGGCGUAGUCGAU
rnacentral:rRNA from 1 species